UAGAGCCUUUCAAGAUUUCCCUGUGAAAAGAAAACUACGUUGAUGCCAGUCAUAUAAGGUGUCGCCAUCUUGGCUGCUGGCCCAGCUGUGUCCAGCAGCCUCUCUUCACAGAGGAGCCCUGCAGCCUCCUGACAAUGCCUAUGUAUGCACACCCAAACACCAGGUCUUCUCUCAAACAGUUUAAACAGUGAGUGAAAGUAAAGAAGAGUGGAAUCCUGAGUAAACAAAGAGAAGAAAGCUGAGCAAACAGUCUGCAUUGUGAACAGUAAGUGAACUGACUGCAUACUCUGAAAUUGAUCAUUAUCUAUACUUCCAUUUUCAUGUUUUUUUCUGUUCACAGUUCUUU
rnacentral:lncRNA from 1 species